CUACGGGCCGCACCAGUGAGGAAUAUUGCACAAUGGAGGAAACUCUGAUGCAGCAACGCCGCGUGGAGGAUGACGCAUUUCGGUGUGUAGACUCCUUUUAUAUGUCAAGAAAAUGACGGUAGCAUAUGAAUAAGCUCCGGCUAACUCCGUGCCAGCAGCCGCGGUAAUACGGAGGGAGCAAGCGUUACUCGGAAUCACUGGGCGUAAAGGACGCGUAGGCGGGAUAGAAAGUCAGGUGUGAAAUCCUAUGGCUCAACCAUAGAACUGCACUUGAAACUUCUAACCUAGAGUAUGGGAGGGGAAGAUGGAAUUAGUGGUGUAGGGGUAAAAUCCGUAGAUAUCACUAGGAAUACCAAAAGCGAAGGCGAUCUUCUGGAACAAUACUGACGCUAAGGCGUGAAAGCGUGGGGAGCAAACAGGAUUAGAUACCCUCGUAGUC
rnacentral:rRNA from 1 species